rnacentral:rRNA from 1 species
GAUGAACGCUGGCGGCGUGCCUAAUACAUGCAAGUCGAGCGAACAGACGAGGUGCUUGCUCCUCUGACGUUAGCGGCGGACGGGUGAGUAACACGUGGAUAACCUACCUAUAAGACUGGGAUAACUUCGGGAAACCGGAGCUAAUACCGGAUAAUAUAUUGAACCGCAUGGUUCAAUAGUGAAAGACGGUUUUGCUGUCACUUAUAGAUGGAUCCGCGCCGCAUUAGCUAGUUGGUAAGGUAACGGCUUACCAAGGCUACGAUGCGUAGCCGACCUGAGAGGGUGAUCGGCCACACUGGAACUGAGACACGGUCCAGACUCCUACGGGAGGCAGCAGUAGGGAAUCUUCCGCAAUGGGCGAAAGCCUGACGGAGCAACGCCGCGUGAGUGAUGAAGGUCUUCGGAUCGUAAAACUCUGUUAGUAGGGAAGAACAAAUGUGUAAGUAACUAUGCACGUCUUGACGGUACCUAAUCAGAAAGCCACGGCUAACUACGUG